AACGAACGCUGGCGGCAGGCUUAACACAUGCAAGUCGAGCGCCCCGCAAGGGGAGCGGCAGACGGGUGAGUAACGCGUGGGAAUCUACCCAUCUCUACGGAAUAACGCAUGGAAACGUGUGCUAAUACCGUAUACGUCCUUCGGGAGACAGAUUUAUCGGAGAUGGAUGAGCCCGCGUUGGAUUAGCUAGUUGGUGGGGUAAAGGCCUACCAAGGCGACGAUCCAGAGCUGGUCUGAGAGGAUGAUCAGCCACACUGGGACUGAGACACGGCCCAGACUCCUACGGGAGGCAGCAGUGGGGAAUAUUGGACAAUGGGCGCAAGCCUGAUCCAGCCAUGCCGCGCGAGUGAUGAAGGCCCUAGGGUUGUAAAGCUCUUUCACCGGUGAAGAUAAUGACGGUAACCGGAGAAGAAGCCCCGGCUAACUUCGUGCCAGCCGCCGCCGUAAUAC
rnacentral:rRNA from 1 species